rnacentral:rRNA from 1 species
GACGAACGCUGGCGGCGUGCUUAACACAUGCAAGUCGAACGGAAAGGCCCUGCUUGCAGGGUACUCGCGUGGCGAACGGGUGAGUAACACGUGGGUGAUCUGCCCUGCACUUCGGGAUAAGCCUGGGAAACUGGGCCUAAUACCGGACAGGUGCUAUUUUUAGUGUGAUGGUUGGAAAGUUUUUUCGGUGUAGGAUGUGCUUGCUGCAUAUCUGCUCGCUGGUGGGGUGAUGUCCUACCGAGGCGGCUGCGGGUAGCCGGCCUGAGGGGGUGGCCGGCCACACAGGGACUGAGGGGCGGCCGAAGCAGCGACGGGUGGGAGAUGGGGGGAAUAUUGCAGGAGGGGCGCAGGCCGGGUGAAGCGGGGCCGCGUGGGGGAUGACGGCCUUCGGGGUGUAAACUCCUUGCGCAAGGAACGAAGCAUUUUGUGACGGUACCUAGAUAAGAAGCACCGGCUAACUACGUG